GAGACUUUGUCCCAUUUUUACCUUCAUUUGUCCUCUCUGCACUGGUCUUCCCUUUGGACUAUAGGUCCCUUAAGCCUGCCCCAGCCUAAACCACCACCACAAACAGAAAUUCCAUCACGCUGCUUUUCCCCUUCACGCUGCAUCUCUCUCUUCCCAGUGAUCUACCCCAGCCUGCCAUCGGAUUUACCUUCCUCAUAUCCCACUCCAUCAUUCAACUCCACUGCUCCAAAGGGCUUCCCCGUUACAUGAGGUCCACACUCCGAAGCCUGGCUCAGGCCCUCUGAGACCUUCUCAGCCCACUUAUAUCAUCUUUUCAUCAUCCUUAUGUCCUUGUUUCUUGAACCCAAAGAAAGACCUACAGACUGAAAUGGGAAGCCAGUGAGGAGAAUGCUGGACAGAUAUUUCCAGGCUCCAAAGCUGAAGAAAUCUGCUGCAAGCCCAAAGGACUUCUUUGCAUUCACUCAGGAUUCCCGCAUGUUACCACCUUGAAGCGC
rnacentral:lncRNA from 1 species